GCUUUGGGAAAAAAUGGAGUUUUGUAUGGAAAAUGGGGAAAAGGGGGGAAACAAGGAGAAGGAAUCUUUAGGCUAUUUGGGGCCCAGCAGCAGGUCUCAUCAAGUCCUAAUUUUAACAAACUAGAUAUUGUCUAGCUUGGCCCGGCCAACCCUAGACAAAGGCCUAUUUAUGCAAGCCUUGAUGAUACUAGGCCACAAUCUAAAGCCUGAUGAGAACUAGGUCACCUCUACCAGACCUCUACGAACACAACCCACGGCCUAACUAAUUGACUAGUCAUAUGUAUGCCCAUCAACUAAACCCUGCAAUCA
rnacentral:lncRNA from 1 species